rnacentral:telomerase_RNA from 1 species
GCACGCACCUGGCAGAGCCCACAGCUCCAGUUAGUCACGUCAAGGUGUUUUCAGGGUGUCUCCCGUCACCUCGUAACCCUAAACUGGAGUCGCGAAGGCCAGUCAUUGGCAGCACCCGGUAGUUAAGGGGUCUUGGAAGCAGGUUUCCCCCUUGCUUGGACUUGGUGGAUUCAAAGAAGCCAGUAUGCUGCUGGGGUUGUGGGUCAUCAGGGUUCAGCUCUGCUGUGGGCGGGCAGCUUAGUCACAGUCUGGCGGGUUAGCUGGUUGUGAAAAUGGUUCGGCCAUGUGGGCUGCUCAGAACCGGGCGGGGCCUCUGCUUGGGUGCUGCAUAUUGU